CCCAGAAGCGUUUGCGUAAUAGUUGCUCGUAUAAUUUGCCUAACACUGGGAGGAGGCUGAUCGGUAAAUGAAGACUUUUUCUAAUCACAGCAACAGUCACAGCGAAGCUAGAUCUCACUAGUAAGUAGCAUACCUACACUCGCAAUUACAAUUAACUCAUUUUCAUACACAGUCUCUAAGCUUUGUAUGUAUUGAAAUAUUUUUUUUACUUUCGAUGUAGUAAUGAAGUCGACACUACAUAAGUUCGCAACAGAUUUCGCAAAACACAAUAGAAGUCCAGUUGAUUAUAAAUCAGCGGCGCAAUCGAGUCUAGGCUCUGGUCAAGCGUGACCAGGGCGUAGAGCCGUCCGCGAUAAAUUAUACAAGUGAACGCGAGGGCACAACCGUGUUCAACUUUACGACGGCAUAAAUCACGGCUUAACGUCACUCCUACCACCCUAACCGACUCCCCGUGCGAUUCUGUAAGCGUUGUUUAACAAACUCGCACGUGAAUUUGGUGUGAGUUUUCAAAUUGGCAUUCUGUAAAUUUCAUUGUAGUGCCGAAUCUACACUAGCGCCCCUCGCGGGUGAAUUGAACUAGCAAGCGUGAGUUUUUUUUACAAAAAUGUAUGAGUUGACGUUUGAAACGGCAUUCUGUAGUGUAAAUCACGUCGAAUUUCGGCAAGAACUUCGCAUCGCAAAAUCAUUUUAUUUGUCAAAUCAAAAGUUAGUGUUUUAAGUGUUUGUUGUGAGUGAGAAUAUACGAAAACGUUAUAAACCGCUGUUAAUUAUUAAAAAAAUACUAUUAAUUAACAAAAUUGCACUUUAAAAUAACUUUAUUCUUCAUCGAUACUUUGUGGAGCGUAUGUUUUUAUUGAAAACAUUGUUGAGAGAAGCUGACGCUAUGGAUCAGCGUGAAAUGCGUCGACAAGCCUAUGAAAUUCACAAUUUAUCACUUUUAACUUGAGAUGACGACCAUGUAAAAGUAUAAAGAAAGUGUAUAGAUUGUCGAAGGAUCAUAUGAACCAGUUAGGGUGUGAAUUACACCCUUUGAUGAAGACCACUAAAAGCCAUUGAAAAGGACUUUCAACUCUUCUAAAGUUUCAGUUAUUGUGCACCUUGUUAUUUUUGGCCAAUUGAAGUUACCAAAAAAACCAUAAAAGAAAAUAUAAGAACAUAUUUGUUCCAGACAUCCCAGUGUAUAUCUGAGGUUGUGGAGGCUCUGAACAACCCAGCAACUAUAUAUAAAUAUUUAAGAUUCCCACAGAAUGCUCAAGAAUGGCAAAAGUUGAAGGAAAAUCAAAGAAAAAAGAAGAAGGUGGUUUAAGCUAAAUAGGAACAGAUGGCGGUGCACUAUAAAAAACAAACCGUUUCAAGGCCAUGACCACGACCCUCAGUAAUGAGGAAACUGAUGCAAAGAGGAGGAGGAGAGGUUUAAGCUAAAUAAAAAAAUGUUUUCUUCAUAAAAAAUUACCAAAUUUUUUUUUUUUUUUUUUUUUAUUGCCCUUGUAGGCAGACGAGCAUAUGGCCCACCUGAUGGUGAGUGGUUACCGUCGCCCAUGGACUUCAGCAAUGUCAGGGGCAGAGCCAAGCCGCUGCCUACCGUUUAAUACUCUCCACAAGCCUCGUUUGAAGAAGGACAUGUCAUAGCGCUCGGGAAACACCGUGGAGGGGAGCUCAUUCCAUAGCCGGAUGGUACGUGGCAAAAAAGACCUCUGGAAACGCACUGUGGAUGACCGCAGUGGCUCCAGGUAGUAUGGAUGAACUCUACUCCGGUGGCGGGCGGUGCGAUGGUAAAAACGAGAUGCCGGUAUCAUCUCGAACAAUUCAACAAUAUUAAUGUAAUGCUAAAUAUUGCAAAGAAUAUCAUGCAAGAAAUGUACAAUUUGUAAAGCUAUUAAUAUUUUUCGAAAUUCUGAUAUGUAAUCCAUAAACGAAAUGUGUAUUAAGAACCUAUGUAUUCAGAUUGUAUUCAUUUCAGUUAAAUUGUAAUUGUGUAUAUUGCUAUAAGUUAUUGUGAAAUAUAGUAUUUAUCUUAAAUAAACUUUAUUCAGUUAUAAUCAAAACAAAAUAAAAUCUACUAGAUUAGUCAAUGACAGCAAGUUAUGACCAUUAUAUUUAUUUAACAUCUUUUCGGGCUUUCUGUAUAUUGUCAACGUUCCAACCUUAUGACACCUUUUGCUAUUAUUUUUUUUCAUUGCUUAGAUCGGUGGACGAGCUCCCAGCCCACGUGGAGUUAAAUGGUUACUGGAGCCCAUAGACAUCUACAACGUAAAUGCGCCACCCACCUUGAGAUAUAAAUUCUAAGGUCUCAGUAUAGUUGCAACAGCUGCCCCACCCUUCAAACCAAAACGCAUUACUGCUUCACGGCAGAAAUAGACGAUAACGCUAUGCUAUGCUAGCAAUACCUGCUAAUAAUAGCUAGCUAUUGCUAAUAUGGAGGAAGAUACUCCUGAAGCUUUGUAGCACCGCCUUCAUUCCACUGCCCGUAACUCAGUGUAAAGAACAAUAGGUAUGUUAAAGAGUAGAUUCAGGUGUUUGCUGAUCUAUAGGGUGCCAAUUUACCACCCUGAUAAGAUAGCAAAAAUAGUUGUUGCGUGUUGUGUUUUGCACAACAUUUGCAAUUGUGCAGAGCUGCCAGUUCCCAUGAUUUCAGAUGAUGAGAUUACAUGUACAUUAUGGUGGUCAUGUUGAAUUACUUUGUUAAAUUUUACUAAUUAGCUAACUUAUAGUGUGAAGUAACUUCAAAUAUAAAUUAAUGAUUUAUAAAAA